UUAAUACCGCAUAUAUCCUACGGGGGAAAGCAGGGGACCUUCGGGCCUUGCGCUAUUCGAUGAGCCUGAGUGAGAUUAGCUAGUUGGUGGGGUAAAGGCCUACCAAGGCGACGAUCUCUAGCUGGUCUGAGAGGAUGAUCAGCCACACUGGGACUGAGACACGGCCCAGACUCCUACGGGAGGCAGCAGUGGGGAAUAUUGCACAAUGGACGAAAGUCUGAUGCAGCCAUGCCGCGUGUGUGAAGAAGGCCUUCGGGUUGUAAAGCACUUUCAGCGAGGAGGAAAGGUCAGUAAGUAAUAUUUGCUGGCUGUGACGUUACUCGCAGAAGAAGCACCGGCUAAUUUAGUGCCAGCAGCCGCGGUAAUACUAAAGGUGCAAGCGUUAAUCGGAAUUACUGGGCGUAAAGCGCGCGUAGGUGGUUUGUUAAGUUGGAUGUGAAAGCCCAGGGCUCAACCUUGGAACUGCAUUCAAAACUGACUCACUAGAGUACGAGAGAGGUUAGUGGAAUUUCCUGUGUAGCGGUGAAUGCGUAGAGAUGGGAAGGAACACCAGU
rnacentral:rRNA from 1 species